GGGGGGGGGGGGGGGGGGUGGACACAUUUUUUCACUUUGGAAGUGUCUCUCGCGCAGACUAUUUAGUUAAGAAAAAAAGAUAUUAGAAACCUAAAUAUCAUUUUUGAAGACCUAUCCAUAGAUACCCCACACGUAUAGGUUUGAUGAAAAAAUGUUUUUUGAGUUUCAGUUCUAAGUAUGGGGAACCCCCAAAAUUUAUUGUUUUUUUUUUCUAUUUUUGUGUAAACAUCUUAAUACGGUUCAUAGAAUACAUCUACUUACCAAGUUUGAACAAUAGCUCUUAUAGUUUCGGAAAAAAGUGGCUGUGACAUAAUCGGACAGACAGACGGACAUGACGAAUCUAUAAGGGUUCCGUUUUUUGCCAUUUGGCUACGGAACCCUAAAAAGUCCGUACAUUUACCGAUUUAAGAGCCCUCCUUUCGGAAUUUUGAAGUCAAUUAGAAAUGUAUCAAGCAAACUUACUUUACACCUAAAAUAUUGCACAAGGUACACUUAGCAAAAUAGAACCCUGGGUCACCAAGCCUUGGUACCCACAUAAAAUCGACAAAUAGUAAAAGAUUAUUUACGAUUGAAUUUUGACAUCACUUGGACAGAGUUGGGCGUUAUGUAGAUAAGGUCAACUCGGCGAAGACCGUCUGCCGGCGAAGGCCGUCUAGCAAGAAUUACAGCAAAUUCUGUACAGCUACGAGGAUGGCAACACAAUUUACGUAAUGAUAAAACAGUUCUAGUACUUAUAAAUUUACACAGAUGGCGCUACCUCUAGCAUGAAGAGAAAAACCGGCCUUUCAAGUUUAGUCAGGUUGGCAACUCGUAUUGGGAGUACAACACGCUGUCGUUAAAUUUUUUUUUUAAGUGAUUAAACUGAAGUGUUUUUAAGAUCGAUACAGGUAAGUCUAUUCUUUAUUAAUGUAUUUAUAUGAAUAUUAUAUUACAAUAACCUUAAACUGGUUAUUUCACGAAGAUAUUUCUGGUGGAAAAAAACUAACCUCAAAAUGUAGUAGUGUCGAAGUCCGUCAAAAGUUUGGAGGCUAAUAUCGUCAUACGGCAUAUCUUCUUCUUCUUCGUCUUCACCGUUUUCAGAAGUUGCCAACCUUUUCUGUAUAUGUUUUUUUUUAUUUAUUAUUGACCGUAGCGUUAGCGAAGAUCUACGUUUUGACUCGGGCAUUUUGCAUCCUCUACAGGUCGCAACUCUCAACCGAUUCUCGUGAAAUUUUGUGGCCAGAUUUUAAGAUUUAAUAGACUUUUUUGUCGAUCUAAUUUUAGAUUUUUUUUUUAAAUGUAGAAUUUCAUAAAGAACUUAAGCGCCAAUAAUGUCUAUGGCGCUUAUGACUAUUAUGAGUUUAACUGUGAUAAUGAUAUUUAUCAUUUUUACAUUUUCUAAACUUAACGCGUCAACAGCUCACAGAGCCACUAGUAUAUAAUAUAUAGUUAACUAGUAUACUUGCUCAAAAUGUGACAAGAAAAGGUCGUGGACAAUGGACAUACUUAUAAAAUUCUUGAUAGAGCAGUCGCCAUGGAAUUUAAGAUCGUGAGACUAAAAAUGCCAUAUCUUAAAGGUGAAAACAGUAAGGGACCAACCUUGGUCAGCUGUUAAGCAUUUUGUGUCUGUCUACCUCGAAAUAGUUUAUAUGAAUCAGCAGUUUAUUUCACUGAUGAAUGUUAUCACUUCCAUUUCAAUGCAAUAUACAUUUGCUACUUUUUGUGGUAUUCUUGGCCUCAAUUUUUAAGAGUACUUAAAUCAAUACUCGUUUAGUAUUUUACUUAAGAAUUGUAUUGAUUAAAAUACAUUUGUAUUGAUCUCAA